rnacentral:rRNA from 1 species
GCAGUCGAACGAGAAACGGAUUUAGCUUGCUAAAUUGCAGUCUAAGUGGCGCACGGGUGAGUAAUGUAUAGGUAACAUGCCUUCUACUAGGGGAUAACAGUUGGAAACGACUGCUAAUACCCUAUAUUCCUUAUUAGCACAAGUGUGUAAGGGAAAGAUUCAUUGGUAGAAGAUUGGCCUAUAUUGUAUCAGCUAGUUGGUAGUGUAAUGGACUACCAAGGCUAUGACGCAUAACUGGUUUGAGAGGAUGAUCAGUCACACUGGAACUGAGACACGGUCCAGACUCCUACGGGAGGCAGCAGUGGGGAAUAUUGCACAAUGGGCGAAAGCCUGAUGCAGCAACGCCGCGUGGAGGAUGACACAUUUCGGUGCGUAAACUCCUUUUAUAUGGGAAGAUAAUGACGGUACCAUAUGAAUAAGCACCGGCUAACUCCGUGCCA